rnacentral:rRNA from 1 species
UAUACAUGCAAGUCGAGCGACAGAGAAGGAGCUUGCUCCUUCGACGUUAGCGGCGGACGGGUGAGUAACACGUGGGCAACCUACCUUAUAGUUUGGGAUAACUCCGGGAAACCGGGGCUAAUACCGAAUAAUCUGUUUCACCUCAUGGUGAAACACUGAAAGACGGUUUCGGCUGUCGCUAUAGGAUGGGCCCGCGGCGCAUUAGCUAGUUGGUGAGGUAACGGCUCACCAAGGCGACGAUGCGUAGCCGACCUGAGAGGGUGAUCGGCCACACUGGGACUGAGACACGGCCCAGACUCCUACGGGAGGCAGCAGUAGGGAAUCUUCCACAAUGGGCGAAAGCCUGAUGGAGCAACGCCGCGUGAGUGAAGAAGGAUUUCGGUUCGUAAAACUCUGUUGUAAGGGAAGAACAAGUACAGUAGUAACUGGCUGUACCUUGACGGUACCUUAUUAGAAAGCCACGGCUAACUACGUGCCAGCAGCCGCGGUAAUACGUAGGUGGCAAGCGUUGUCCGGAAUUAUUGGGCGUAAAGCGCGCGCAGGUGGUUUCUUUAAGUCUGAUGUGAAAGCCCACGGCUCAACCCGUGGAGGGU